rnacentral:rRNA from 1 species
CAGCACCUCAAGUGGUCAGGAUGAUUAUUGGGCCUAAAGCAUCCGUAGCCGGCGCUGUAAGUUUUCGGUUAAAUCUGUACGCUCAACGUACAGGCUGCCGGGAAUACUGCAGCGCUAGGGAGUGGGAGAGGUAGACGGUACUCGGUAGGAAGGAGUAAAAUCCUUUGAUCUAUUGAUGACCACCUGUGGCGAAGGCGGUCUACCAGAACACGUCCGACGGUGAGGGAUGAAAGCUGGGGAGCAAACCGGAUUAGAUACCCGAGUAGUCC